rnacentral:rRNA from 1 species
GGUGUGGGUAGGGGAGAAAUUCCAAUCGAACCCGGAGAUAGCUGGUUCUCCUCGAAAUAGCUUUAGGGCUAGCCUCGUUUUAGUCUUAUGGAGGUAGAGCACUGAAUUUCCGCGGGGGCGUCAAAGCUUACCAAAGAAUAUCAAACUCCGAAUGCCAUGUAGAUGAUGAACGGGAGUCAGACUGCACGAGAUAAGUUGGGCAGUCAAAAGGGAAAGAGCCCAGACCGCCAGCCAAGGUCCCAAAGUGUGUGUUAAGUGGAAAAGGAUGUGGGAUCUCCAAGACAACUAGGAUGUUGGCUCAGAAGCAGCCACACAUUCAAAGAGUGCGUAACAGCUCACUAGUCGAGAGGUCCUGCGCCGAAAAUGUCCGGGGCUGAAACACAACACCGAAGCUGCGGAAUUGCGAAUGCAAUUGGUAGAGGAGCAUUCUUAAUACCGACGAAGCUGUACCGGAAGGAGCAGUGGAGGGAUAAGAAGAGAGAAUGCCGGAAUGAGUAGCGAGAGAGAGGUGGGAAUCCUCUCGGCCGAAUAUCCAAGGUUUCCAGAGUAAAGCUGAUCUGCUCUGGGUAAGUCGGGGCCUAAGGCGAGGUCAAGAGACGUAGCCGAUGGACAACAGGUUUAGAUUCCUGUACCGCAUAUAAACAGAACUGUGGGGACGCAUGGGGAGAGCAUGGGCCGGGAAUGGAAAUACCGGUGCAAGCGAAGGAGGUGUGCAGCCGGCAAAUCCGCUGCAUGAGCCGAAAGCGUGACGCGGAGCGAAAUGAAAGUAGCGAAGCAUGUGAGCCCUGUGCCGAGAAAAGCCGCUAUAGCUUUAUAUGUGCCCGUACCGUAAACCGACACAGGUGGAUGAGGAGAGAAUCCUAAGGCCGGCGGAAGAAGUAUUGUUAAGGAACUCGGCAAAAUGACCCCGUAACUUCGGGAGAAGGGGUGCCCACGGGAGUGGGCCGCAGAGAAUAGGCUCAAGCAACUGUUUAGCAAAAACACAGGUCUAUGCGAAACCGAAAGGUGAAGUAUAUGGGCUGACGCCUGCCCGGUGCUGGAAGGUUAAGAGGAGAGGUUAGCGCAAGCGAAGCUUUGAAUUUAAGCCCCAGUAAACGGCGGCCGUAACUAUAACGGUCCUAAGGUAGCGAAAUUCCUUGUCGGGUAAGUUCCGACCCGCACGAAAGGCGUAAUGAUUUGAGCGCUGUCUCGACAAUGCAUCCGGUGAAAUUGAAGUACCAGUGAAGAUGCUGGUUACCCGCGCCAGGACGGAAAGACCCCAUGGAGCUUUACUCCAGUUUGGUACUGGGAUUCGGUACUGCACGUACAGGAUAGGUGGGAGACUUUGAAACUUGAACGCCAGUUUGAGUGGAGUCGCUGUUGGGAUACCACCCCUGCAGUAUUGGAUUUCUAACCAGUCACCGUGAUCCGGUGAUGGGACAAUGCCAGGCGGGGAGUUUGACUGGGGCGGUCGCCUCCGAAAGGGUAUCGGAGGCGCUCAAAGGUUCCCUCAGAAUGGUCGGAAACCAUUCGAAGAGUGCAAAGGCAGAAGGGAGCUUGACUGCGAUAGAAUAGAUAUCGUGGUGCGGUGGCGGGGAAAUCAGGCUGACACCAGGUGUGGAAUGACGGGUUUUGGCAAUCCACGGAUAUACUUUCUUUGCAGGAAGAUGUCCACCUUCACCAGGUUUUGCACCCUGUGCCAUCUUGAUCUGGAUUUCUCUUGCAGAUACAAGAUAACGGCUGGUUACACCGAAACGUCCACUGGCAACCUGUUUGAUCGCGGAGCAUCUGUCAUCGCUGCUUCCUGCGGAAUCCAGUCUUUCGUCACUUUCACCGCCCUCACCUGUAUUGGAUUUUCCAUGAAGGUGGUUCAUGGCGAUCGCCAGUGUCUCAUGUGCUUCCUGUGAAAUAGAACCAUAGGACAUGGCACCUGUCUUAAAUCGUUUUACAAUGUCCUCAACACUCUCAACCUGGUCGAUCGGAAUAGGCUCCUUGGCAAACUUAA